CGAGUCAUUGUAGUAAUACAAGGCAGACGGCUCAGUAACGCGUACUCACCUAACCUAUGGACGGGAAUAAUCUCGGGAAACUGAGCAUAAUGCCCGAUAGAACAUUAUACCUGGAAUGGUUUAUGUUCGAAAUGAUUUAUCGCCGUAGGAUGGGACUGCGCCCUAUCAGUUUGUUGGUGAGGUAAUGGCCCACCAAGACUAUUACAGGUACGGGCUCUGAGAGGAGUAGCCCGGAGAUGGGUACUGAGACACGGACCCAGGCCCUAUGGGGCGCAGCAGGCGAGAAAACUUUGCAAUGUGCGAAAGCACGACAAGGUUAAUCCGAGUGGUUUCUGCUAAAGGAACCUUUUGUCGGUCCUAGAAACACCGAUGAAUAAGGGGUGGGCAAGUUCUGGUGUCAGCCGCCGCGGUAAAACCAGCACCUCAAGUGGUCAGGAUGAUUAUUGGGCCUAAAGCAUCCGUAGCCGGCUCUGUUAGUUUUCGGUUAAAUCUGUACGCUCAACGUACAGGCUGCCGGGAAUACUGCAGAGCUAGGGAGUGGGAGAGGUAGACGGUACUCGGUAGGAAGGGGUAAAAUCCUUUGAUCUAUUGAUGACCACCUGUGGCGAAGGCGGUCUACCAGAACACGUCCGACGGUGAGGGAUGAAAGCUGGGGGAGCAAACCGGAUUAGAUACCCGGGUAGUCCCAGCUGUAA
rnacentral:rRNA from 1 species